AAAGUCUGGCUGCUCUAAAGGGACACUUCAGUUUCUUCAGGACCUUUGAAGAGCAACUUUUUGGUCAUUCCUCUGGCAGAAUCCAACAAGAUGAAACUCACGUUCAUCCUGCUGGCCAUGCUGGCCUUCACACUCAUCACUCUGGAAUCAACCACAGAGGCGAUGGAAAGUUUUACAGGCUUCAGAGAGCCAAGAGAAGUAUGGAAGAUGGCUGAACAAUUAGUGCAACGGAUGAAGAGUGAGAAAGAGGCUGCUCAAAAAACACACAAACAGGGGACCAAAUUCUGAAAUGUUAAAUGUAGGUAACAGACACACCUGCAGAGACACACAUGCCUGCACAUACACAGUGUCAAACCCAUUCUAACCUGAUGCUGAUGUGCUUUGAUUGACAGACCUGUGUUGUCUCCUCCACCACAAAGAAGAACCUGCCUUCUAUCUGUGUUCUUGUAUCUCAGCUUCAGCCCAGGCUUCACUGAGACACUUUUCUACGUCUUUUAUUCUCUCUCCUGCUCUUCAUGUAACGAUGUUACUGAUGUUAGUGGGAGUUCUUCUUUCAUGAAAAAUAAAACACUAUCGAGCAUCA
rnacentral:lncRNA from 1 species